rnacentral:rRNA from 1 species
UACGUAGGGUGCAAGCGUUAUCCGGAAUCACUGGGCGUAAAGCGUGCGUAGGUGGCGUGUUAAGUGUGAUGUUAAAUCGUGGGGCUCAACCCUGUCGUUGCAUCACAUACUGGCAUGCUAGAGGACGGCAGAGGCAAGUGGAACUAGCAGUGUAGCAGUGAAAUGCGUAGAUAUUGCUAAGAACACCAAUGGCGAAGGCAGCUUGCUGGGCCACUCCUGACACUGAGGUACGAAAGCGUGGGGAGCGAACAGG